GUCCAUGUUGGAGAUAGAUGACAAGGGAAUGCAAUGAUGAUUAAUGGUGCUGGGAGAAGAUAAAUCUUACACUUUUCUGAACAUAGUAUCUCCUAUAUCUACCUUUUUUUUUUUUGUUUCAGGGCUCAGGAGAAGCUUUCUGUUUGCUGCUUGCUGUUCUCCAUCACCAUGAAUCCUCACUGACAAGAGCAGUUGAUAUUCCCGGUGAACUAGGGGCUAUUAUUCCCAGAAUACAUGAAGAACCAAAGGCUGAGAAAGUCCAGUAUCAGUCCUUUGGAAAUGCGGCAAGUUGUUCAUGUUCUCCUAAAAUGUGGCACUCGGAACUGAAUAUAGCAUUUGGUUGUCCUUUGAUGAGCAGAAUAAAGUGAUUAUAUCUUCUGCCUCUUCCUGGAUACUAUACAUACCUCUUUGAAUAUAGCUUAAGAUAAGGCAAACACUUUCUCUCUCUCUCUCUCUCUCUCUCUCUCUCUCUCUCAAGGGCACAGAUGAG
rnacentral:lncRNA from 1 species